GGAGCUGCAGUUGUUUAGUCUGGAGAAGGGGAGGCUCUGGGGGGAUCUUAUUGCUCCCUGAAGGGAGGUGGCGAUGAGGUAGGUGUUGGCCUCUGCUCCCAGGUUGCAAUGAUAGGAUGAGAGGUGAUGGCCUCAAGUUAUGCCAGGAAAGGUUCUGGUUGGAUAUUUGGAAACAUUUCUUCUCCAAAGGAGCGGCAGUGGAUUGGCACAGGCUGCCCAGGGAGGUGGUGGAGUCCCAUCCCUGGAGGUGUUCAGGAAGCAUGGAGAUGGCACUGAGGGACACAGCUGGUUGGACUGGAUGAUCUUAGUGGUCUUUUCCAGGGCCAUUAUGUCUACACAGUAUAGCAAAAAUUGUUGUUUGCUGCUUUGUGAAUUGCUUCGCUCCGUACUUCCUGGUGUUCUCAUUAACACUGUGCCUAUGGAAUUUGUGUUGUCCAUUACAAGAAAGUCUGUAGGAAAGCUGGGCUGAAGAAAGACUUGUCUGAGAAGAAAGCCCAGACUUGUACAGCAUUCUAGCAGUGACCUGGAAGCAACUGCAAAAAGUCAUUGCAAAAAUUAAUGGAGGCUGAAUAAAAAAUGGCCAGAAUGUCAGUAGAAACAUCCCAUCCAAACAAUGAGCCAAGCAUCACACCCUAUCAAAGAGCCAAGUGUGGAGGCUGUAACUAUCAGAUAUAAGGCUAAACCCUGGGAAGAUACUGGCACUGAGAGGGACGUAGGGUUAGAAUAAAUAAGCAUUUACAUAAGGGCUCUGCCAUACAAUGCUAUGACAGAAGAAAAAAAAAAAAGGAUUAAUCAAUGCAUAAACAAUGGAAUAAAACAAUGUUCAUUGUACUUCUCGUGUUUGGCCUUAGCAGUGCCUUCCACAAGACAGUUCAUACAGUUCUGGUUCUCAUUUCUGAAGAAGAAUAUUGGGAAGUAAUAGAGCAAACGCUCAGGCAGUAGGUUCUGGUGGUUAGAAAAAAAAUGCCUUACACUGGCAGGUUUUAAGAACUAAAGCUGUUAAAAGUAAUCUAAAGGAAUUGAGAAGUGACUUGAUUGCAGUGUAUAAGAACAUUCCUGGGGGAAAGUACAGGAUAUUAAAGGCCUCUUUAAUCUAUUGAAGAAAGGCGUAAUAAGAGGCAGUGGCUGGAGGCAGGCAUUCAAAUAUGAAAUAAGACACACAUUUUUAUAUGGUUAACCACCAGAAACCAUUCCCAAGAGAAGCCGAGGAUUCUUCAUCAUUUCAUGUCUUCUGUUGAAGAUUAGAUGUGUUUCUGGAAAUAAUUUUUUAGCCAAGCAGAAGAUACACUUCAGUUUAUUGGAUGAAUACAGGUUGAAAUCUGAUGGUCCGUGAUACGCAUCGUGUCAGGUUAAUCUAGUGGGACCUUCAUGUUUUAAAUUUUAAAGGCCUGAAGCAGACAUUCCAUUAAUAACCAUGAGCAUUAGAAUCUUCUCUUUUUCCUUGCCUUGAAAUACUUCCGCUCAAUAAAAAGCUGAUCAGAAUUUAAUGUUUGACUGCAGAACAUAUGAACUGAGACAAGAUCUGGGGGUUUGGGCCCUUUUACUUCCCAAAUAUACACUCUUGGGGUUACUCAGAAAAAAAAAUCUCUGCAUUUCCAUUUAGAUUUCUGAAUGAAUAGAUCCUUACACAGAAAUUUCAUAUAAAAUCUGGAUAGUGACCCUCCCAGAAAUAUUUCACAUCGAGCACAUCAAUUAUGUAAAACUGCCUCAAGGCCAAGAGGUUCAGAGAGCACCAAAUGAAUCCUGAUACAUUACCUGUAUUGUACAUCUUAUAUAUGUUGCAUAUGUUUGCAUCAUAGAGCCUUAACCUCACUUGAGGCAUUAUCGUAGCAUAAGCAAUGAUAUUACCAAUGGAAGGGCUGCUAUUACUGAAAGAGGGAUAAACGGAAGAUAAACAGUGUUUCAGAUCAGCAGCUUGUCAGAGAAACACGCACAAAAACCCACCCCUGAAAUGGUUCGUGGUAAAUUUUUCUAUCUUGAGGUGGAAGGCAUGCUGCCAUUUCUCUGCUUUCUGAGAAAUGUGCAAUGCUAAUCCUGCAAGACAUACAUGCUUCCUAAUUUAAAUGCUUCCCUUUUUCCUGGAUCCCGAGCAGAAAAUUCAAAAGCAGAAGCUGAAAAACAAGCUGCUGCCUUCUUUUGUGUUUUCUUUUUCCCACAGCCAAACCACAAUCUCCCCUUAAAUACGGAACAGACUGAAAUCUGAUAAUUAACUUGAUGAUGAAUUCUGGAGCGUGAUCUGAAUAACUGUACAGGUAAAACCAUCACUGUGGUUAUAAAGGAUGUAGUGAAACUUGUCUUUAUGGUAUGCUCUCAGUAACAUAAAAAAGCUCAAAGUCUUUAUGUGUGUGUGGUUGAAACUUUUUACUUCAACUUUGAACUAUCAGCAUGAAAACUGGAUGGCACUGGAACUGAGGAAGCUUUUAAAUUACUUUGGUGUUUUUGAAGUGAAUAACUGCUGCAAUGGGCACUCCAGAAGGAGCGUGCAGUGCACCCUACAACUGAAAUGUGUCCCCUUUUGCUCUCUGCAAUACAACGGAUCCAAAGCUGUUCUGCAUACCUUUCAGCUGAUAGUGCAAGCGUGACAUUGUAACAUACGCAUUUCCACAGGUGGCAAACCAGCAUACUCAUGGCCACAUUCCCAAAGGCUAUAAGUGUCCAAUGGGACAGCUGUGGGACUGGAUGGCAGAGGAGGUGCAGAACACAUCAUGCUCACAGCUGCUGCCGUGACCAUCCUGUAACAGGACAGAAACAGAGCCAGCAGUCAUUUAUGAAGCAGAACAUCUCACUUGCUAUCCCUGCAGAUGGCCACUGGCUUCUAGGUGUAUUUAGGGCACUGGUUCUGCCUUAUGAAGCCCUAAACCAUUGGAGAACCGUUUAUCUGUGUCAGUGGCAGCCAGCUGUUUUUCUCUCAUAGAGUAAUUGGAGGAGCAGGUGGCAGGGCAUUCUCCAGAACUGCGGGGCUUGUUUUCUGUCAUCUGAAAUAGCUUGAAUUUGGUCAUUUCCUGGCCACAAAGCAUCUGUUUGUCAGUGUUUUUUGAAGAAAAUAUAAAUAAUUUCCCAGCAUGAUGGAGGAUAGAAAGGAGAGGCUGUAGAGGUCUGGAUUCCUGUUAAGAUUAUUAUUCCAAGGCUUCUAGGAUUUUGUUGUAUUGCUAAUAAUGUUAACGUACUGAUAGUCAGAGGCAGGCUUCCUUUUAGAUAAUUUUGGAUACAAACAAAUAAAUAUGUGGCUGUCUAUUGGCGAUAUUAUUCUCCAUGGCUAAAAAAAAAAAUGUUGGGUAGUUUGGGAAGAAUAAGGCACGGUUCUUCUGUUUCUUGUUAUUUAUUGCUAGGCUAUAAAGUUUACCAGCUGUAAUAAGAAAGGAGUGCAAUGACUUGCUGCAAUCCCCUAAAGCCAGUUUGACCUGGCUGUGCAUUUAUGCCUGCUGGAUAAAGCUAAGAGUUAAGUAUGUAAGAGUGCCUUGUUAUUCUUUGUUUGCUUUCAUAAUGCUUUCCCUAUAUUAUUGGCUUUUGUAAAUUUGUUGUAAGUUCUUUAGGCAAGUAUCAUUGUUCACACACUAUUAAGUAGUUGCAGUAUUUUAGUGUGGUAGGGGAAGGUCACUGUGUGCCUCACAAAUCUCGUCUGUUGGCAGAGCAGAUACACUGAGUCACAAAGGCCCAAAUAGCUUAGUGGCAGGAACACCAGCAACGAAAGCAGAAAGUCCAAGCUGUGUGUAAGUGGUGAAUGUUUCACUUUAGAGCUUGGAUUUUCCAGGGAAUGGACUAAGGUGACUUUAGUGCGUCCCUAGUUUACCUCGGGGUGGCAGAGCACGUGUUCCUGUGGCACAGGAUGUAAUUUAUAUUGCACUGCUGCCUCUCUGGGUGAAGGCUGAGUGUGCCCAUAGUCACUCAGUCUCCUCAGCUCUUGCUUUUUGUUUUUAAUCCACACCUGUAUUGGCACGUGGUCUUGCAAAUGCAGUGAUUAGGUGACUGCAUGCAGAUGUAGAAAGUACGAUUUUAUGAUUUGCUACAGAAAACAGAAAUUAAAAAAAAUAAGUAAUAAAAGAGACUGUAGUGAUAUGAUCUCCCCUGCAAAGUCAUUCUGGGAAUGCAGUUGUUGUCACAGAAUCACAGAUAGGAUCACAGAAUCACAGGGGUUGGAAGGAACCUCAAGAGAUCAUCAAGUCCAAUCCCUCUGCCAGAGCAGGUUCCUGCAAUAGGUCACACAGGUAGGUGUCCAGGCAGGUCUUUAUUCCUCUCUAUAGAAGGAGACUCCACCACCUCUCUGGACAAGCUGUUCCAGUGCUCUGCCACUCUUACUGCAAAGAUUUUCUUCCACACGUUACUACAGAACUUCCUUUGUUCAAGUUUUAGGCCAUUACUCCUUGUCCCAUCGCUGUGCACCACUGAGAAGAGCCUGGCCUCAUCCAUUUGCCUCCCACCUCCCUUUAGAAAUUCAUAAACAUUAAUUAAUUCCCCCUGCAGUUUUCUUUUUCCCCAGGCUGAACAGACCCAUGUUUCUCAGACUUCCCUCCAGGCCCUUUAUUGUCUUUGCGGCUCUUCACUGAACAACUGUAUUGUUAUAUUCUUUUUUGUUCUUCUGUGAACUUAAUUCCACGUAUUUAACCACUGGCCACUUCAAGCAUAAUUCAGAUAAGGUGACCUUAAUCUGUCUUAAAUUAUUUUAUGUUCUCAAUAGCAGCAUGAGAGUGCCUUGCAGUCAUUGCUUGUUCAAUCCAUAGGACUACUUCACAAGGGACAGGAAUGCAUAAUUCCUCUCCACUCUGUUUUACAACUGGGAAGAGAUGCAGACUUUUAAUGAUUUCAUUACACUUAAAUUUCUUCCGUUUUCCCAGGUUCCCUUAAUUUUAAUUAUUUUAAUUGAAUAACGUAUUGUCUUCAUGAUGAGAAAGUGGAAAUCUGUCUCUGAAGAGACUAACGAGCAAUGAAAGACUCUGGGUGUUUUGCCUCUUAGGCCCAGGAUUUGGAACUCAAAAUAGUUAAAUUUGGGAAGACGGGGGAGAAGUCUGUUGCUUUGUGGGUGGGUAGGGUUUGUUUUCUCUUUUAAUAGGAACGAGGAAUCAAACACUGAGAAGGAUGGUUUGGUUCUGGCUUUUUCAAACAUUCAGGUUAAUAACAUUUAGCUGUUGGUGUGAAACUCAUUUCUAGAAGGUAUUUCUACGCUCUGCCUACCAGGGAUUAAAAAGAACAGCUUGUUUUCACUUGGAACAGCUGCCUGCCUUCAAUCCCAUGCUCUCCUUUAUUAUCCACAACAUUUACACAUCGAAAAGACAAACUAGUUGCUAACCCAGUGCAUGCACCCCUAUCUCUAAGUUCUUUUAUAGCUAUAUUUUAUUACUAACAAGGCAUCAGAGAAGGGAUAGAAUGAAAAAUGCGCUCAUGCACAGCUCUUAAUCAACUCAGAGCCCUGAAUUAGAAGGCUUCUUCCACAUAUCAUCUGAACAUUUCUGCUUAUACAAUACCUGCAGCCUUUUUAUCACCAUGAUAUCUACAGAUCCCUUACAGAUAUUUGUCCUCAUUAAGACAGGAAUGAGUCCUUUCAUGCGUAUUUGCAUCAACUGGAGUUAUUGCAUACUGAGUGGAUUUUUGGGUGCAAGAGCAGGAGUUACAUCAGUACCUGCAAACCAGCUGUGCUGCAGGUGAAAUGAGGGCUGGGCACCUGGGGCAGCAGGAAGCAGAUUCUUGCUGGAGCAUGCAGGGAGCAGCAGGGAUCCCAGCUCCAGGCUCCCCACUGGCACAGCCCAUGAGAACAUACAGCCCAUGAGAACAUAUCUGUGAUCCAAGGGAUCGGAGUGCCUUGCAAAAAGAGGCUAGAUGUAUUCUGGUUACUCAGACUCAUCAAAGAGUUAUGUCCCACACUUCACUAAUGGAAAGGAAAUACUGGGAAUCAAUCUGCAUGGGAGAGGUGCAGGAGAGUUCACCAUCCAAGGACAUGGAGUUUACCAUCCUGCUCUCAGUUCAUGCAGGGGGAGAAAGGCAAGGCAGAGAUUUGAUAUGUUAUGGGAAGCCGUAUGUUUAACAUAAGAUACAUAAGAGAUGGGAAUUUGCCUUAGCGUGUGCACUUACACGUUUUAAUCAGUUCCAGACAUUUUUUUCUUGGAAAAUCCAAAAUUGGCAAGAUUAUGAAAUGGAGCCAGUUCGUGUCCGAGCGUGUGUCGAGUUACUCAUCAUUGGAGUAGGAGGACUGAAAUCUUCCCAAGGCUUCUUUCUGACAACAUUUUUUCAUUUUCUGUUCAGAGAAAAGAAGCCACAAUCUAUGGAAUAUGUUCAUAGUUCAUACUAAUUAUGAACUCUCUUCAGUUUCAGAAGAACUGUUUGUAACUACUACAAACGAGGUCAUCACCUAGAGGCCAAAAUUAUGUCCAUAGGCUUCCUCUGCAAUGCAAUGGGAAAGGCAGGAGCUUUGACAGAGAGUCCAGGAUGUCUACAGGAUGUUGAGGGAGCUGCUGGGAGUUAGCUAAUAGCAAAUCAAACAUGAGAAUGACUCUGAAAACCCAUCCCACACUUCAGGCAGGGCUACAAAUGACAUGCCUCAAGUUAUGUGCCAUACAGGAUCCAGCCUAAAUCCCAGUGAGUUGGUUGUGAAUAUUCUUACAAAUAAUUGGGAAGAGUUCACCUUUUCACAGGGCAUCUGCCCACUUUCAUUGUGACUGCCUACCAGUUAGAGCUCUUGCCUGGAAAGGAACUUUCUAAGCCUUUUUUAAAAUGUGAUCAUUAAUAUUAAUUCACUGUCAUUAUAGUUCUCUUCACUGCAGGUAAAUGGAGAACAUCCACAAUAUCACAGAGAAACUUCUUUCAUUCUGCUGAAAGUACCGGUGAGACAUCUUCAGUCUUCCAUCUUUAGGAUGCUACGUGCUCUGUGUCCUGGCUCUGGAUCUCAGGAAAAGGCCAGGUGCUCUCAAUGAUUCUCACAACAACCUGCUUGCCUUACAGCUGCACCCUUUUCCAGAUAAUGCAGCCCAUGUGUCCCAGGGCAAAUCAGAACCAGUAUAACCAGUAGUUUGAAUGGAAGCUGUACUGCAGGCUCUCGCUCUCAGGGUUGCGUGAUGAUUGCUGUUUUUCUUAAUUAUGAAGAAAGCACUCAGAAUUAUGUGGGUGUAUGUGAUAUUCCCUCAAAUGUAAAUUCAGCUUUAAAAAUAUCGUCGUGAAGUGAGCAAUUAAAAUUUUAGUGGCGGAUGAGUUAAAAUAUGUAGGAGGAUUUAAUGUCUUGCCCUCAGACAUCCAAGUCCUUAAGUAAAGUGCAUUGUCACGAUGGAUGGCUUCUAGGAUAUUUACUUGGCAUGCCAGAAAUGGGACUCAGAUGGAUCCACUGGGCUCAGUUCAAGAAAACUACCAAUAAGUCUCCUGCUGUGGCAACUGCCUGACCCCAUGGUUGUCUGAAAAUUCCUGCCACCUUCUCAUUUGUCCUGGCAGUUUCACAGGUCACUGAGCUGGAAUGCCCGUGGCUGCCCCGGCAGCAGUGACAGGUAGGGUCAGGAUCUCAGCUGAAUCCUGCCAUGGUUCAGAUAGACAGCAAGCACACGUCCCCAUUCCACCCGAAACCCAGAGGAAGCCCAUUUGGCUAGGUAUGCUUGGUGCCUCGUGGCACCAGGCUUGUCACUGUUGACAGAAAAACUCACCUAGGGGGUGGGAAAUCUAAAUUCAGUUCCAGCUGUGUUAGGUGAUCUGCACCGAGAGGUAUUGGUAGCUUCAAUGCCUGUGUUGGCGCCCCAUGAAUCCUGCCUUUGGAUGGAAUGAAAGUUAAGCAGCUGAAGGUUUGGACUCAGGGUGUGUAAGCGGUUGGAGCUGGCCAAGGAUGCAAGACUGCUGAUUCACAGAGCUGUGAUGCAGCUGUGUGUAAAGCACAGUGAGGAUGCAGGAGCUCUGUAUUAAUUUGCCUGCACACCUCCUAUUACCACCCUCGUGAUCUGCUAUGGCUGCUGAGAAGCAAGCAAUGAAAUGGGAUGUACAGAAAGAGAAGCAUUCAUUAUGGAGGGGGUGGGAAACUGCUUAUGUGUUUGAUCACUGUAUUUCUGGAAAGAAAAAAAAGUCAUUAACCAAACAUGACUGGAGGAACUUGCAAUGUAGGUUCAACUGCUGAGAAGCUGUAUUCUCGGGAUUGUUUGGUUUUGCCCCUUUAUUGUGCUAGAAACUACAUACUGCUGAUGAAGGAGCUUUUAAAACCAGCUUAGCCAGGCUGGUCUAAGGAAGGCUAAACACUGUUCAUGAGAGGACUGCAGUUGUCAUGCUCCCCCUAUCUUAAAUUUUGCUGUUUUUCUGCCUAAUCUCAUGUCUUCCUCCUUUAUGUCUAGGAGACUGAAGAUGCUUACUAUAUGUAAUGUAGUUUUGCAAUAUGUGGCUGUCCUGCUGUCCACCUCUUUAUAUCUGUGUGUAGAUGCAUGUCUAUGCAUGCACAUCUCUGUUAGUAUGCUUUCUUACCAUUAGCUCUGUCUGCUUUCUCACCUGCUUUUCUUUGCUGGGAACCUACCUAAGUCCUACCUAGGGUAGAACUCUAUUUUUUCUAGUGAAUCUACUGAAUCUGCACGUUAUCCAUAUGAAAAUAGAGCUGACCCUUCUGUCCUAGAGAAAUACGCAGUCUCUGAGUCCGCAGGCUUUGGGUUCCAUGGUAAUGCCAGCUUACUCCGUGUCGUAUCCAAAGGAAAAAUGGAGAGAGCAAGACAAACUCAGUACAGCAAUGACUAGCAACCCUCUUUCAAGUGCAGAUUUAAUAAGAACACCUUUUUUGCUCAGCAAAAUCACUGCCCUUCCUCAAAACACUCAUGAGAGCAGAACCAGGACUUUUAUACCAAGAAUGAAAUGGAAUCUGAAUGGUGCAAGAGGCUGUUCAUAGUGCUGCUAUUGCACACUAUGUGCAGCAAAGUCUUGGCACGUUGUGUUUUGCUCAAGUGGCUGACCACAGUGUUUAGCUACAUAACAACUGCCUGAGAGAUUUCUGAUGAAAAUGCAGUAUUUUUUCUGUAACUUAAUGAGCUACUUUGAUUUAUUAACAACGCUUGGAAAAACCACACUGCAGGACGUCAGGCUCUCUUAACAUGAGCUCAGUGUCUGCUGAGGUGCAGUCCCACAGCACCCCCAGAACACAAAUAGAUCAGUCCCUGAACUAAAAUGCAGUUAUUUUUGUCAGAGCAUUCCAAACAUUUGCAGAAACAUGGGAAAUUGGAGGAAAUCACAAAUCCAAACCUCAGAUCGUGUUCUCUGUAAGCCUGGCCAAGUUUUAUUAGCUGUAUCCCUGAACCUGGGCCAUGUCUUCAACAAAUCUGAUAUGACACAGCUUUUGACUUAAAUGGUUUAAAAACAUAAAUUUAAAAUGCUUGUACAAAUAAUUACUUGUUGCCUUCUGGUUUCAGCUGCAUUUUUGGCCACAUACAGUUACUAAUAUGAAUGCUCUUUUCAUGCAGAGAUGGAGGAAGCUUGUAUGUGGGUGGCCCUUGGGAAAAAAAGAAUGAACACUUGCUUUCUUAGUCUUGAAAUACUCUGCAAAGAUGGUGAAGAAAUCUGCUGCUGGUCCAGGGCCUCUGGGAAAGCAGCAUAUCUAAAGCCAUACGGUGUAAAAAGAUGGCUCAGGGCAGAGCCUUGGAUCCAAGUGGUGCAAAUCAGCAUGUGGCAACUCAGAGCAAACCGUGCUACAAGGCACAGGUCUGAGCUUGAUUUUCUUGGUCUCUUACCAGGCUGAGACCAUCUCUGCUGAUUCUCUGGAGGUGGGAGCCAUCUAGCAGACAAGUAAUCAGGCCCAGGCUCUGCUCUUUGCCGCUUUGUAAAGCAGAAGUAUUCCAGCCUUUCUAGCAGCAGCUGUCUUUCCUCUUUGGAAUCCUACCUGAUGUGUGUAAAAUUGGGUGCGGGCUUAGCAGAAAUCUGCAUGUGAAUCCCUUGCUGUUUUGUCUCACAGAGUUAUUGGCGCAGGUUUUCAUGCCACUGAAAUGUACUUGUCAGGAGAGAGGUCCAUGUUUCUCUUCUGCAAAUACAUGGCCAUUCUGAUAACAGAAAGUGAGUCCGAGAUGUGAAAGGAAAGAGAUGUCUGAAGUGAAAGAGCAAUGCAAAUGCUGAGUUCACCCCACCAGAUUUUGAUGUCUGUCAGUCUCUCUCUGGAUAACUCAUCUGUGUUGUGCUGUCAUUAAAAUACUUGCUACUUAACAUGAGCAAACUUAAAGAAAA